rnacentral:lncRNA from 1 species
AUGCAUAAAAUGUUUUACAGUGUUUUGAACCACACCCAACUCUUCACCGGGCAUGAGUGUUCAGAGCAAAAUACGGACGAAAGGGAUAUUUGUUUUCACAUAUUCAUGCUGCCUGGCUGGCCACCUGGCUCUGCAGAGAACAAAGAAGGAAAGAGAAGGCAAAACAGAGACCAGAAUCCUGGAAUUUUGUACAAUGAUACUGCACUUUAAUCAAGGAGAAGAAGAAAAUUAAGAAUGAAAUGCUACUUCUAUUACUUCUUUGUAUCCUUCUGUGAUUUUUACCCUCAGUACUCAAGAAUAUUGCUUCCACAAUAUAAAAACAACUUGGCACAUUAAUAUUUGUGUUCUUUGUUACCAUUAUGCCUAAUGCUAUGGUUGGAGCAAUACUGGUGAUCACAUUUAAAGGAACUGUAUGAUUGGGGUCAAAUUCAGACUUCACCUCUUCGGUGCUGCCAGAAAGAGCUUGUCAAGUCAAUUUGAAUUCUUCUGCACAAAGAAUUUUCCUAGCAGCCAUAUGAAAUUCACCUCCCUGGUGUAAGAAUUACAUAAGGGUUCAUUUUCAGAUUGACAUACCAAGCUGUCACUGAAAAUUCCCCUCCUACAAAAUGGGCUUCCUUUCAGUGUAUUAUGGGGGAAUCCUUAACAGCCUGAUAAUUUUCUUCCCUAUCCAUGCCUUUCCAUACUGGUUUCUAUUACAUGAGUACUACAAAAUGUGUUGAAGUUUCUGAUGCUGGCAUAGGGGAUGAGCUGAGAAUCUCACAUUUUUAGAGUUCAAAAAGAUUUUUUUAAUAGUUCUAAACAUCUGAAAUGUUUCAACAUAUAUCCUUCCUGCAUUCCUUCCAACUAUGAAUCCUAGAAACGCUACUAGUUCAGUGAAAGAACCAAAUGGAUUGUUUUUAGCAAAGCUGCUGGAUUUCAUAAUUAGUUGGGUUGUUGGUCAAAACUCACCUGCCUAUAAUACUCACCUUUGUAGCAAGCCUGGCCAAUGUAUCACAAAUGAUUAUUAAGCUCGGAAUUGAUUGCAAGCUUUGUAGCAUGUACAGUAGGCAUCGAAGCACCAUUUCUGUGUAUGGGCUUGAAUGAAGUGGCACAUGCUUUGCUCCUUCACUUGUUGCUCGCAUCGCAGCUCUAACUCUAUGAAGAGGCUGGCUGGGGGCCCCUUUUCUUCCCUUUUCCAUAUAACGAUGAUCAGUGAGUGAACCUUGCAGGCAGGCAGGCAGGCAGGCCACUUGACCGAUCCGAAGGAACACACAUAGUAUGCUAAGAAGGCUGUCGUGCGACACAUGGACAAAUCUGUUACUUUUGUGAAAAUAACAAACCCACUUGGGGUAAGUUCACACAUCACUAAUUGCUUUUAAAUUCCACAAUACUUAAAUCAAGUCUCACUUCUGAAGUUACCGAAACAGUAGAACUUUCAAUAUUUGGCUUAUCUUCUAGAGAAAAUCACAUUAAUUUUUCAGUUUUGGAUCACAGAUGCUGGAGAAUAACGGAAGCAUAAAUAUAUACUAACACUAGCACUGAUAAUUGUAAAUAAUACCUAGCGCAAAAAGCAAUUGAUCAAGAGAGAUUCCUGGAUAAGAGAAGUUUUACAGUGUUAGUGGACAGGGAACCUACUCACUUAAGUGAAUCCAAGGCCAUGAUUUUUAAUAUCUUCACAUAUAGUCAUAAAAAUAGCUAUUUUUACUCUGUAAUGGCCUUAUGCAUGCAAUAUAAAAUGAAGCAGUCCGAAAAAUAUUCUUACUACUGAAACAGCAUCUGGCUCUUUUGGCAGGCAUGCAUAAAGCCAAGCAGCUUAAAUCCAAGAAGGAAAAUGUUUAUCUAAUAAUCUGCUUUUCUGCAAAUGGCCUAAACAACCAGGCAAAUUCUAGCCUUACUGCCUGAUUUCAUUUAUUCAUGCUGCAUUUUACAGAUGAGAUUGCAUGUUAGUAUUUGAAAAAGUGGUACCUCCCAUCAACUAGUUUGAAACACAGUUAUUACUAUGAAUUGCAUUUUAUCCCAUUUUCCUCUUCUUCUGAGGAACUCAAGGUGGUUUACAUGGCUUCAUUUUAUCCUCACAACAAUAACCCCAAGGAGGAUUGGCCUGAGAGUCUGUGACUAGGCCAAAGGUACCCAGUGAGUUUCAUGAAUGAGUGGGAUCUUAAAUCUAGAUCUCCUGGAUCCCCUGCCCAAAUUAGGGUCCUGGAGUCAAUCCCCAGGUUCUCCAGGUAUUGAAAGGUUCCUGUCUUUGGUUUGACUGCAGAAAUCCCAUUGAAACCCCAUGAGAUUUAAGCAGCCAGGGCACAGUCCUAUGGGGAAUGCUCAUAACACUCCAAAUUGGAGGCAAAGGUAACUUCCAUAAUUGUCCUGCCCUGCAAAGCAGCUAGACAACCAAUUUUGGCCAUUGUGGGAGAAGGGAGCUGAGAUGCCAACAGGAUUACCUGUACCUUGGCAACACUAGUGUCUCCCCAUUCCUGCCCUCUAGAACACUCCCUAAACUUUGUCUCUGAAGGUGUAGCCAGUAUAGUUCCUUCUGCAUUGGCUGUAACACUCAGAGCGAUGAGUCUCAGCCCCAGUGUUGGAGAUGGGACUCCAGAAAAGCCUAUGUCCUUUAGAUGUCAAGCAACUACAGGAUCCUUCUGCCAGUGUAUCCAGGAGAGCAAACACAGUUACUUGUAAACUAGACCAGAUCCUGACAAACCAAGGAUUUCCCAAUGAUCGGUGUAGGAAGCCUACCUUACCAAUCAUGAAGCUAACCCUGGUUUAUCUACUCAUACCCAUUUAUCCUUGAGAAGGGCUGGCUUUGCUGCUCCUUGGUUUCUCGGGCAACAUGUUACUCUGGUGUAUCAUAAAUGACUGACUUCCUAUUAAAGACCAAUGUGGUGCCCUUCUUUACCCAGUGUGUAUCCUUUACAAUGCUCAAGUACAGCUCACACAUAUUUAAUUUGUUGUUUAUCUCAAUGGUACAAGUGCUCAUGUAUUUCUGCAUUGCUGCCAAGUCGGUACCUUUGGGAUUCUACCCAUAUGCAAUCUGCACUGACAAUUAAUUCCCUAUUUGGUGGUCUCUUCGUUAAUGGAUAAUAUAUAUGUUCCUCAAAAGUGAUUUCCACAUAGAGAUUGCCCCUUUUUUUUCACUGACCUAACAGUAGCCUGACAUGUUGGUAUUGAAUUAGUAAAGCUUUUUUCCAGCUUCAUCCCAAUGCCAGGUUUAUUCUAAUACCACAUUCUUUAAUCCCCCACUGUUAAAGAAACAGAAUCAAACCCAGUUCAAAAUCCUGGCACCAUCUCACUUCCUUUCCCUUUUAUUAGAUUUCUAGAAUACUAGGGUUGGGUAAGAUUUUGGCAAUCAUGUAAACCUGCGUGGGCAACUU